rnacentral:rRNA from 1 species
CCUACGGGAGGCAGCAGGGAGGAAUAUUGGUCAAUGGACGAGAGUCUGAACCAGCCAAGUAGCGUGAAGGAUGACUGCCCUAUGGGUUGUAAACUUCUUUUAUAAAGGAAUAAAACGAGGCACGUGUGCCUUUUUGCAUGUACUUUAUGAAUAAGGAUCGGCUAACUCCGUGCCAGCAGCCGAGGUAAUACGGAGGAUCCGAGCGUUAUCCGGAUUUAUUGGGUUUAAAGGGAGCGUAGAUGGGUUGUUAAGUCAGUUGUGAAAGUUUGCGGCUCAACCGUAAAAUUGCAAUUGAUACUGUCAUUCUUGAGGACAGUUGAGGUAGGCGGAAUUCGUGGUGUAGCGGUGAAAUGCUUAGAUAUCACGAAGAACCCCGAUUGCGAAGGCAGCUUACUAAACUGUGACUGACAUUGAUGCUCGAAAGUGUGGGUAUCAAACAGGAUUAGAUACCCCAGUAGUC